rnacentral:rRNA from 1 species
GAUGAACGCUAGCUACAGGCUUAACACAUGCAAGUCGAGGGGCAGCAUGGUCUUAGCUUGCUAAGGCCGAUGGCGACCGGCGCACGGGUGAGUAACACGUAUCCAACCUGCCGUCUACUCUUGGACAGCCUUCUGAAAGGAAGAUUAAUACAAGAUGGUUCAUCAUGAGUCCACAUGUUCACAUGAUUAAAGGUAUUCCGGUAGACGAUGGGGAUGCGUUCCAUUAGAUAGUAGGCGGGGUAACGGCCCACCUAGUCUUCGAUGGAUAGGGGUUCUGAGAGGAAGGUCCCCCACAUUGGAACUGAGACACGGUCCAA